ensembl:lincRNA
CUUCUUCUUGCCCUUUUUUUUUUUUUUUUUAAGAUUUAAAAUGUUUUAUUUAUUAUUAUUAUUUUUUUAAAUUUUAAAAUCUUUAAUUCUUACAUGCGUUCCCAAACAUGAACUCCCCUCCCACCUCCCUCCCCAUAACAUCUCUCUGGGUCAUCCCCAUGCACCAGCUCCAAGCAUGCUGUAUGCUGCGUCAGACAUAGACUGGCGAUUCGAUUCUUACAUGAUAGUAUACAUGUUACAAUGCCAUUCUCCCAAAUCAUCCCACCCUCUCCCUCUCCCUCUGAGUCCAAAAGUCCAUUAUACACAUCUGUGUCUCUUUCCCUGUCUUGCAUACAGGGUCGUCAUUGCCAUCUUCCUAAAUUCCAUAUAUAUGUGUUCCUACCCUCUUUUCCUUCUCUUCUCCUAACGUUGUUUUUUCCUCUUCUUCUAGGUUCCUGAACAAGACCUUCUGUUCUCAGAAUAUGGGAGGUAUCAGCACAGUAGAAAAUGAAGCUGACCAUCUCUCAGGAGGCAGACUGAAAUACUGUCUAAUCCUGGAGAAGCUACACCGCUCAAUAUGGAGGUUAGGAGAAGAGCCUAGAACACUCUUCCAGCUGCAAUGGGACCCCUUAAAGACACUCUGGUUCAAUAUCCAGGGUCCUGAGGCUGCUGUGGCGUGGAAGUGGAAUAUCAUCAGGGCACCAACUCAACCUGGAGAGAAACUCUAUGAAUAUAAUCUAUGUGGAAAAGCCACCAGAAGAAAUUCUAACCAUAUUCCACCCAAGAGAAAUUACACAGGAGAGAAAUGCAAUGAAUAG